rnacentral:rRNA from 1 species
AUGGCGUGCAUAAAUUUUGGUCUCAUCACCCUGAUCCCCAAAGUAGUUUGGGCGACAGACAUUCGCCAAUUCAGACCUAUCACAGUUAUCAACAUUCUGGAGCGCAUCUUCUCUAAAGUAUGCGCGACUAGACUCGUGCCGGUAGCUGAGAGGAUGAAUCACCCACUUCAGACAUCAUUCCUAAAAGGGAGACAAAUCCAUGACGGGAUUUCCCCCCUUCACGAGAUUGUCCACGAGGUGCGAUCGCAUGGGCAGAAGGGUGUCUUUCUCAAGCUGGACUUCCAGAAAGCCUAUGAUCGGCUAGACUGGAACUUCCUGCGGCUAGUCAUGCAGCGCAGAGGCUUCGAGGACAGAUGGUGCAACUGGAUUAUGCAGUUGGUACGGUCUGGCAACACAACGAUUAACAUUAAUAGUGAGGUGGGGCCAUUCUUCUCGUCCUCUGCGGGAGUGAAGCAAGGGGACCUGAUAUCCCCCCGUCUCUUCAAUCUCGUCGUAGACGCGCUGGCGGGAAUCCUGGACAAAGCUAGGAGGGUUGGCCACCUCUCGGGAGUUGUUGGUCACCUCAUUCCGAGAGGAGGGGUCACCCAUAUCCAAUACGCUGAUGAAACCAUGAUUAUGGUGGGAGGAUCCGCCCUCGACAUAGUUAAUCUUAAGUUCCUACUCCUGUGCUUUGAGGCUAUGUCGGGACUCAAGAUUAACUUUGAGAAGAGCGAGGUCAUCAUCUUGGGCUACCUUGCAGAGGACCAACAAAGGAUUGUGGACAACCUAAACUGUAGACUAACCUCAUUCCCCAUUACCUACUCGGGGAUGCCGAUGGCAGAUUCGAAGAUCUUGACGAGUGCGUUCGAUCCUUUAGUGGGGUGA